GACGAACGCUGGCGGCGUGCUUAACACAUGCAAGUCGAACGGAAAGGCCCUGCUUUUGUGGGGUGCUCGAGUGGCGAACGGGUGAGUAACACGUGAGUAACCUGCCCUUGACUUUGGGAUAACUUCAGGAAACUGGGGCUAAUACCGGAUAGGAGCUCCUGCUGCAUGGUGGGGGUUGGAAAGUUUCGUCGGUUGGGGAUGGACUCGCGGCUUAUCAGCUUGUUGGUGGGGUAGUGGCUUACCAAGGCUUUGACGGGUAGCCGGCCUGAGAGGGUGACCGGCCACAUUGGGACUGAGAUACGGCCCAGAAUCCUACGGGAGGCAGCAGUGGGGAAUAUUGCACAAUGGGAGGAAGCCUGAUGCAGCAACGCCGCGUGCGGGAUGACGGCCUUCGGGUUGUAAACCGCUUUCGCCUGUGACGAAGCGUGAGUGACGGUAAUGGGUAAAGAAGCACCGGCUAACUACGUG
rnacentral:rRNA from 1 species